rnacentral:rRNA from 1 species
UAUUUAAAAUGUAAAUUUUUUGCCAGGUUAGUAUUAGUUAUUUUCUUGAAAACAAAAAAAUUUGGCGGUAUUUUAGUCUUUUCAGAGGAACCUGCCCUGUAAUUGAUAGUCCACGAUUAUUUUUACUUGUAUUUAUGGCUUGUAUAUCGUCGUGGUUGAUUUUUUUAUUAGAAUAUUAAUAGUCAAUUUUCUUUAUUAGGAAUGAAAUCAGAUCAAGAUGCAGUUAUAUACAAGGAGAGGUGGGUUACAAUAAGUUUACUUAAAUGGUUAAGAUUUUUAAAUAUUUCUUAUAAAGUGGAUUUGAUAGU